UGCAGAAGCUUUACCCUUCAGAGAUGUGCAAUGUGCUAGCUACAACAACAAACCGUUACCAGGUUCAUCUGAGCAAACAUACAUCUGGGUGCCAUUUUAUGGAGCUCCCAAUGCCUGUGAUUUAAACUGCUUGGCUGUUGGAUAUAACUUUUAUUAUACCUUUGGGCGAGUACUGGAUGGAACCAGCUGUGAGGCAGACGGUACCUGCAUCAGCGGCAAUUGCAUGAAAGCAGGCUGUGAUGGUGUACUGGGGUCUGAAGUACCUGUUUACUCGUGUGGAAGCUGCGGUGGCAAGAAAGAAUCUUGCAUUUUUAUCUGGAAUGUUUUCCGGGACCCUUAUCCAUCUACAGGUU